rnacentral:rRNA from 1 species
GACGAACGCUGGCGGCGUGCCUAAUACAUGCAAGUCGACCUUAGUGGCGAACGGGUGAGGAACACGUGGGUAACCUGCACAUCAGAAGGGGAUAACACUUGGAAACAGGUGCGAAUACCGGAUACUGCUGGAUGGAACAGCGGUGCAUGUGCUAGUAGGUGAGGUAACGGCGCACCAAGGCCACGAUGCAUAGACGACCUGAGAGUGUGCACGGCCACAUUGGUACGUAGACACGUCCCAACCGCCUACGGGCGGCAGCAGUAGGGAAUCUUCGGCAAUGGACGAAAGUCUGAUCGAGCAACGCCGCGUGAGUGAAGAGGGUUUUCGGAUCGUAAAACACUGUUGUUAGAGAAGCGGUAUCUAACCAGAAAGCCACGGCUAACUACGUGCCAGCCGCCGCGGUAAUUC